rnacentral:rRNA from 1 species
GACGAACGCUGGCGGCGUGCUUAACACAUGCAAGUCGAACGGAAAUGCCCUGCUCUUGUGCGGUGGUCGAGUGGCGAACGGGUGAGUUACACGCGAGUAACCUGUCCCUGACUUUGGGUUAACUUCAGGAAACAGGGGCUCAUAUCGGGUAGGAGCUCCUGCUGCAUGGUGGGCGUUGGUAAGAUUCGGCGGUUGGGGAGGGACUCGCUGCUUAUCAGCUUGUUGGUGGGGUAGUGGCUUACCAAGGCUUUGACGGGUAGCCUACCUGAGAGGGUAACCGGCCACAUUGGGACUGAGAUACGACACAGACUCGUACGGGAGGCAAGGGUGGAGAGUAUUACACAGUAGGCGGGAGGCUGGUGCGACAACGCCGCGUGGGGGAAGACGUGCUUCGGGUUGUGAACCAAUGUCGCCUGAGACGAGACGUGAGUGACGGUAAUGGAUAAAGAAGCCCCGGCUAACUACGUG